AUUGAACGCUGGCGGCAUGCUUUACACAUGCAAGUCGAACGGCAGCGCGGGCUUCGGCCUGGCGGCGAGUGGCGAACGGGUGAGUAAUAUAUCGGAACGUACCCAAGAGUGGGGGAUAACGUAGCGAAAGUUACGCUAAUACCGCAUACGAUCUAAGGAUGAAAGCAGGGGAUCACAAGACCUUGUGCUCCUGGAGCGGCCGAUAUCUGAUUAGCUAGUUGGUGAGGUAAAGGCUCACCAAGGCAACGAUCAGUAGCUGGUCUGAGAGGAAGACCAGCCACACUGGAACUGAGACACGGUCCAGACUCCUACGGGAGGCAGCAGUGGGGAAUUUUGGACAAUGGGGGCAACCCUGAUCCAGCAAUGCCGCGUGAGUGAAGAAGGCCUUCGGGUUGUAAAGCUCUUUUGUCAGGGAAGAAAAGGUCGUGGCUAAUAUCCACGACUGCUGACGGUACCUGAAGAAUAAGCACCGGCUAACUACGUGCCAGCCGCCGCCGUAA
rnacentral:rRNA from 1 species